rnacentral:rRNA from 1 species
GCCAGCAGUCAUAUCACUCUGCAGCUCACAACUACAGCCCACUGAAGCUCAGCAGGUGUGAGCCUAGUCAGUACCUGGAUGGGAGACUCCUGGGAAAAACUAAGGUUGCUGCUGGAA